rnacentral:rRNA from 1 species
UACGUAGGGGGCUAGCGUUGUCCGGAAUCAUUGGGCGUAAAGCGCGCGUAGGCGGCCCGGUAAGUCCGCUGUGAAAGUCAAAGGCUCAACCUUUGAAUGUCAGCGGAUACUGCCGGGCUAGAGUCCGGAAGAGGCGAGUGGAAUUCCCAGUGUAGUGGUGAAAUACGUAGAGAUUGGGAAGAACACCAGUGGCGAAGGCGGCUAUCUGGACGGUUUCUGACGCUAAGACGCGAAAGCGUGGGGAGCAAACAGG